UACGGGAGGCAGCAGUGGGGAAUAUUGCACAAUGGGCGAAAGCCUGAUGCAGCUAUGCCGCGUGUAUGAAGAAGGCCUUAGGGUUGUAAAGUACUUUCAUCGGGGAGGAAAAAACAAAACUAAUAAUUUUAUUUCUUGACGUUACCCGAAAAAGAAGCACCGGCUAACUCCGUGCCAGCAGCCGCGGUAAUACGGAGGGUGCUAGCGUUAAUCAGAAUUACUGGGCGUAAAGAGCACGUAGGUGGUUUUUUUAAGUCAGAUGUGAAAUCCCUGGGCUUAACCUAGGAACUGCAUUUUGAAACUGAAAUACUAGAGUAUCGUAGAGGGAGGUAGAAUUCUAGGUGUAGCGGUGAAAUGCGUAGAUAUCUGGAGGAAUACCUGUGGCGAAAGCGGCCUCCUAAACGAAUACUGACACUGAGGUGCGAAAGCGUGGGGAGCAAAACAGGGAUUAAGAUACC
rnacentral:rRNA from 1 species